rnacentral:rRNA from 1 species
UACAGAGGGUGCGAGCGUUAAUCGGAAUUACUGGGCGUAAAGCGCACGUAGUCGGCUUUGCAAGUCGGUUGUGAAAUCCCCGGGCUCAACCUGGGAACUGCAUCCGAGACUGCAUUGCUAGAGUAUGGGAGAGGAAAGCGGAAUUUCUGGUGUAGCAGUGAAAUGCGUAGAUAUCAGAAGGAACAUCAGUGGCGAAGGCGGCUUUCUGGACCAAUACUGACGAUCAGGUGCGAAAGCGUGGGGGGCAAACAGG